CAGUCGCCACGGUAAUACGUAGGUGGCGAGCGUUGUCCGGAAUUAUUGGGCGUAAAGGGCUCGCAGGCGGUUUCUUAAGUCUGAUGUGAAAGCCCCCGGCUCAACCGGGGAGGGUCAUUGGAAACUGGGAAGCUUGAGUGCAGAAGAGGAGAGUGGAAUUCCACGUGUAGCGGUGAAAUGCGUAGAGAUGUGGAGGAACACCAGUGGCGAAGGCGACUCUCUGGUCUGUAACUGACGCUGAGGAGCGAAAGCGUGGGGAGCGAACAGGAUUAGAUACCCCUGUAGUCCCUGUCUCUUAUAC
rnacentral:rRNA from 1 species